rnacentral:rRNA from 1 species
GACGAACGCUGGCGGCGUGCUUAACACAUGCAAGUCGAGCGGCGCGGCGAACGGGUGAGUAACGCGUGUGUAACUGCCCCCCUCUCUGGGAUAACAUUUGGAAACGGCUGCUAAUACCGGAUAGUGGGGUAUGACUCGCGUCCUAUCAGCUUGUUGGUGGGUUAGUGGCCUACCAAGGCGAAGACGGUUAGCCGGCCUGAGAGGGCGACCGGCCACAUUGGGAUGAGAUACGGCCCAAACUCGUACGGGGGGCAGCAGUGGGGAAUAUUGCACAAUGGGGGAAACCCUAAUGCAGCAACGUCGCGUGCGGGAUGACGGCCUUCGGGUUGUGAACCGCUUUCAGCCAUGACGCGGUAGUGGCAGAAGAAGCACCGGCUAACUACGUGCCAGCAGCCGCGGUAAUUC